rnacentral:rRNA from 1 species
GACAGAGGGUGCGAACGUUGCUCGGAAUUACUGGGCGUAAAGCGCGUGUAGGCGGGUGAUCAAGUCAGGUGUGAAAUCCCCAGGCUCAACCUGGGAACUGCACUUGAAACUGGUUGCCUUGAGUGUUGGAGAGGGAAGCGGAAUUCCUGGUGUAGAGGUGAAAUUCGUAGAUAUCAGGAGGAACACCGGUGGCGAAGGCGGCUUCCUGGACAAUUACUGACGCUGAGACGCGAAAGCGUGGGGAGCAAACAGG